rnacentral:rRNA from 1 species
CGGAGUCAUUAAAGUGACUUAGUGGCGGACGGGUGAGUAACGCGUGGGUAACCUGCCUCACACAGGGGAUAACAGUUAGAAAUGACUGCUAAUACCGCAUAAGCGCACGGUAUCGCAUGGUACAGUGUGAAAAGAUUUAUCGGUGUGAGAUGGACCCGCGUCUGAUUAGCCAGUUGGCAGGGUAACGGCCUACCAAAGCGACGAUCAGUAGCCGGCCUGAGAGGGUGAACGGCCACAUUGGGACUGAGACACGGCCCAAACUCCUACGGGAGGCAGCAGUGGGGGAUAUUGCACAAUGGGGAAACCCUGAUGCAGCGACGCCGCGUGAGUGAAGAAGUAUUUCGGUAUGUAAAGCUCUAUCAGCAGGGAAGAAAAUGACGGUACCUGACUAAGAAGCCCCGGCUAACUACGUGCCAGCCGCUGC